rnacentral:snRNA from 1 species
AUAUUAGGGCAAUCUGGCUAUGCCAUCUGUCAUCGCUUGGAUCGCCAGGGUUGAUUUGGCUGACCUGGCUGGCUAGGUGUGUAUCCCUCCUGAAGUUGUAUCCUCAGUUGAAGAGGGCAAUCUUCCAUGAAUAGAGGAGGAUCAGUCUUCAGUCAAGUGUGUAUGAGUAGCUGUGCUCCCCUGGUAGAACCUCCAAACAAGCUCUCAAGAGUUCUAAGUCCUGCUAGCUUCCAGUAUUUGUAAAUAAAGUUUUAUUCUAACACAGUUGUGUUCAUUUGUUUAUGUAA